rnacentral:misc_RNA from 1 species
AAGUCGUAACAAGGUUUCCGUAGGUGAACCUGCGGAAGGAUCAUUAAAGAAUUUAGGCUUUACAGCCAUAUUCUCACCCUUUGUAUACUUAUACUACGUUGCCUUGGCAGGCUGUUACACGCCUGCCAGUGGACUCAAACCCUAGAAUCUCUGCUGUCUGAGUACUAUAUAAUAGUUAAAACUUUCAACAACGGAUCUCUUGGUUCUG